rnacentral:rRNA from 1 species
GACGAACGCUGGCGGCGUGCUUAACACAUGCAAGUCGAACGGAAAGGCCCUGCUUUUGUGGGGUGCUCGAGUGGCGAACGGGUGAGUAACACGUGAGUAACCUGCCCUUGACUUUGGGAUAACUUCAGGAAACUGGGGCUAAUACCGGAUAUGAGCUCCUGCUGCAUGUUGGGGGUUGGAAAGUUUCGGCGGUUGGGGAUUGACUCGCGGCUUAUCAGCUUGUUGGUGGGGUAGUGGCUUACCAAGGCUUUGACGGGUAGCCGGCCUGAGAGGGUGACCGGCCACAUUGGGACUGAGAUACGGCCCAGAAUGCUACGGGAGGCAGCAGUGGGGAAUAUUGCACAAUGGGCGGAAGCCUGAUGCAGCAACGCCGCGUGCGGGAUGACGGCCUUCGGGUUGUAAACCGCUUUCGCCUGUGACGAAGCGUGAGUGACGGUAAUGGGUAAAGAAGCACCGGCUAACUACGUG